AGGUGUUGGUGAGGGCACCUUCUCAAUAAAUUCUUAUACCUCUUCCAUACAUCAUAUAGAGUCUCUAAAUCCAUUUGUAAGAAGGAAGAGAUAUCACUCUUCAGCUU
rfam:Gossypium hirsutum cultivar TM-1 chromosome 26, whole genome shotgun sequence